GGAACCCACUUAUGCAUGCUCCAAUUGAGUGGUGAUGCUUUACCUGUACCACUAAAGGCUCAAUAUUCUGCUCAUCCCUGAUAUAAUCAACCCUUCCUAAUCUUCAUUUGUCUAUCCACAUUAAGAUUGUUUUUGCAUGAUAUUGGCAAGGGAAACAUCUCAAGAAAUGAGGGUGAAUUCGUCCUGAUGAUUUUCCAAGGUUUUGGCGGUGAUUGUUUUUGCAUGAUAUUGGCAAGGGAAACAGCUCAAGAAAUGAGGGAGAAUUCGUCCUGAUGAUUUUCCAAGGUUUUGGCGGAGGCAAGGAGAACUAUAGAAUGCAGAUUCCUUUGCCGUGAUUGCAU
rnacentral:lncRNA from 1 species